rnacentral:tRNA from 1 species
GCCUCGGUGGAGUAGUGGUCAACACGCUCGCCUGGUAAACAGAAGGUGUGGGUUCAAUCCCAGCCGAGGUA